rnacentral:rRNA from 1 species
GAUGAACGCUAGCUACAGGCUUAACACAUGCAAGUCGAGGGGUAACGAGAGGAAAGCUUGCUUUCCUUGUCGACGACCGGCGCACGGGUGAGUAACGCGUAUCCAGCCUGCCCCCAACUAGGGAAUAACCUUGCGAAAGUAAGACUAAUACCCUAUAAUUUCCUCAGAUGACAUCUGACGAGGAAUAAAGAUUUAUCGGUUGUGGAUGGGGAUGCGUCUGAUUAGCUUGUUGGCGGGGUAACGGCCCACCAAGGCAACGAUCAGUAGGGGUUCUGAGAGGAAGGUCCCCCACAUUGGAACUGAUACACGGUCCAAACUCCUACGGGAGGAAGCAGUGAGGAAUAUUGGUAAAUGGGCGGAAGCCUGAACCAGCCAAGUAGCGUGCAGGAUGACGGCCCUAUGGGUUGUAAACUGCUUUUAUACAGGAAUAAAGUUAGCCACGUGUGGUUAUUUGUAGGUACUGUAUGAAUAAGGACCGGCUAAUUCCGUGCCAGCCGCCGCAGUAA